AAUUUUCUAGGCCAGCAAAAUUUUAUUCAAGUGAAGUUCAAUUUCAAACACGACUUCUAACUUUUAAAAAAAAAAAUCUUCAGCUUCAAAUAUUCUUUUUUUUUUUCAAUUAUAACUCAAUGUUCUUCAAAUGCAAACCUUAUGUUCUGGUCACAAAAUGUUCAGCAAUAACAUUCAAUCUGCAGGCAUAUCUGCAAUCAAGACAGGUCGGAUUUGUCACAGUAUUAAAUGGAGGAAAAUACAAAAAAUAAGUGGAACAUAUAAUUCAGUAAAGUAAGAAUUAGGUCCAUUGUCCAUACUGCUAUGCUUUAAUGUUCCCUGCUUUUCGUAUCUGCAAGGAAGGGAAAAAUAGAUAGAAAAAAAAUGGUGGGAGCACCAAGACAAGCUUUAAAGUCUUAAACAUAUGAACACGAAUCAGUUGUUGUUGCCCAUUGGUCUGACAUAUUGAUCCAUAAAAUCUUGACAACAUGGGCCAAGUAACUACUAAAUCAAUUGUUUCUGCUUUAAACUUUUGCAGAAGAAAUUAGGAACAUUAGAGAGUGGCCUCACAAUCACUUGUCAUUAUUCAUGUUAAAACCAUCUUAGUUUUUUUUGAAAAUCUAACUGGAUUCUUCCAACUCAAGCAUAAGGAGAAGAUAGAAGAUAUUAAAAAACUAUCUUAGGGAGAGUUCAUUCUAUAAACACUAUGAAUUUAAGACCAAAACUUGAUCUCUUCCAUUUGCAACAUAGCAUCACAUUCGAUAUUUUAAUUUUUAAUAAGAUUAGUUACUUCUAUAAUUCGAUCGCUUUUCGCUCAGCUUAUUUUUUACAGUUUUCUUAAAAAUCUUUCGCAAACAAGCUUUGGCAGUACGAUAAAGCAAAACCAGCUAUUUUUGUCUCUAUACUUUUUCUAUUUUCCGAGGUUGAACAAUUUGAAGUAUGAAAAGUUUAUAUAAUACACGAAUUGUCAAGUAAGUAAUUGACUCUCUAGAGAAGAUAUUAAAAAUUGAUUGAGCAGUAUAUUUAAGAUAUUGUCAUGUAUUAUGGGGGUUCAUCGAUAUAUCAUAUGGUAAUGUCAUUUCUAAUAAGUGGGAUCAUUCCAAACAUUUUGUGUAUUCUUUCCUUAAAUUAACUUUUCCUAUUGUAAAUAUGCAUGCUAUAAACUAGAGACAUUUGUAUGACUAAUUAUUUUAUUGCAAAAACACAAUUAAUGGUUUAAACACUUUACAUUUUUAAGCAAAGAUGUAAAGUACUCUUGUUUAAACAAAUUAAAUGUUUCCUAUGUAUCCUAUGUAUUUUACAUUUUUAACUCAUGCAAAGAUGUAAAAUACUCUUGAAACAUUUGAAGCAAAGAUGAAGAACUAAUGGUUUAAACAAACCUGAGUCACAUACAUCUCUUGUUUCUACUUGAUUUGGUCUUAAACCGUUGCUAAACGUAUCCAAAUCGUUGCUAUUUAUCUAUUUGAAGUAGUAACGUGUAAAUGCUACAAAAUGUUCCUAACCCGCCGCUAUAUUUUUUCUAUUAUUAGUAAGUAUAUAGAGAGGGGCUAUUGUACUCACCAGGGAACCUUUAACAUAUAUAUUUUAGGAAAAAUGUCAUUAUUACCCCUGUACUAUUGCAAAUAUUACACGUUUGUCCUCCGUUUCACUUUACAUCCAAAACCCACCUUACCAUUAACAAACUUAAUGGAAUUGCCCCUAACCUUAACGGAUGGCCAAUGUGGCAGCUGACCCACUUCAUUUUUUCCAUGUCAGCUGCCACGUCACUUAUUUACUCAAUUAAAAAAAAAUUAAAACAUAUCCCCCAACCCCCCCCCCCCCUCUUCCCGACUCCCUACUUCUUCUUCUUCCAUGAGUUCUUCAUCUUUGCUUCAAAUUUUUCAAUCCAAACUAGGCCACGUUUUUCAUCAAACUGACUCAAGUUGUAAGCAUAACUUCUCAACAUUAAUAUUCUCAACAAAUUCCAACUAACACUUUGCUUAAACUUCAGCAAAUUAGAAUAUUCAUUUUAUGUUCUCAAGCAUUCUUACAAAUCCUUCAAUGGUAAUUUUUUUCAAAUCUAUACACAUCAAUGUUAUUCUUCCCGUUUCAAGCUCCAAUUUUUAAUUUUUUUCACUCGAUUUCAGUAGGAAACAAGCAAGAAUUUCAGAUUCUUGAGUCUUUUUUUAACUUCAAAUUUCGGCAACCCAAAAAAUGGAGUAAAAAUUUGUUCUUCACUUAAAUCCACGAAAUUAAUGUUUGAUUCACGAUUUUAAGCUCCAAACAACAACACCCAUCUGAUUUCCUUCAUAUAUAAUCAACGGAUCGAAUUGUCAACUUCAAUUUUUCGACACCCAAAGAACACACCAUAGUGGGUUUCGAGAUUCUCACCACUAAAUUUCCAAACUUGAAACAGAGAUGAGUGAUAGCACCAGUGAAUCCAAACAACUACAUAAAAGAUCAGAAAAUUCUCCAACGGCGAACACAGGUGGCCUCAAAAUAUUAUAUUUUUUCAUAAUCAUUCAAUCAGAUAGAGACUUAGGAAAAACUAUACCCACAAUUUAUUUAAGCACAAGAUUAGAAUGCACGUCCAGACUACUAUAGCAACAUCACAAUUGAAAAUUUAGUAACAACAUUUUCAACCAUCAAAGACGUAGCAUCUGACAAACAAGAGCAGUCGAGAAAAUCAUGGGCCAGAGACGGAGAAACAGUGAAAGUGUUAGCGACACCAAAUCAUGGUCAAUCACAAGCAAUCGACGAAGCAUACCAAUUUCACAACAGAAAAAUCACAGUAGUAGGCUAACGAGCGACGUCCAAAACAACAAAGUCACCGGAAACUUAGCAGUCACUGGAGUUUGUAUAUUCUGGCCAGAUUAAGAGAAAAGAAAGGCCACCAAAUGACAUACCGGUCACAUCCGUUCAGAUCCGACCAGAUCCAUGGUUUCAGAUGGACCUUCAACGAGAUGGAGUUUCCAGUGAUAGAGGUUCCACCAUUUUGGCCGCUGCUUUUGUCGUAACUCAAGAAGAAUGAAAGAGAAGGGGAAUAGUUGAGUGGAGACUAGGCUGACUUGGCAGAUGACAUGGAAAAAAAGGAGUGAGUCAGCUGCCACAUUGGCCAUCCUUUAGGGUUAGGGGCAAUUCCAUCAAGUUUGUUAACG
rnacentral:lncRNA from 1 species